UACGUAGGGACCGAGCGUUGUCCGGAUUCAUUGGGCGUAAAGGGUGCGUAGGUGGCGGGGUAAGUCAGGUGUGAAAUCUCGGAGCUCAACUCCGAAACUGCACUUGAUACUGCCUUGCUCGAGUACUGGAGAGGAGAUUGGAAUUUACGGUGUAGCAGUGAAAUGCGUAGAUAUCGUAAGGAAGACCAGUGGCGAAGGCGAAUCUCUGGACAGUUACUGACACUGAGGCACGAAGGCCAGGGGAGCAAACAGG
rnacentral:rRNA from 1 species